rnacentral:rRNA from 1 species
AUUGAACGCUGGCGGCAGGCCUAACACAUGCAAGUCGAACGAGUCGCGGACGGGUGAGUAAUGUCUGGGAAACUGCCUGAUGGAGGGGGAUAACUACUGGAAACGGUAGCUAAUACCGCAUACCAUCAGAUGUGCUCAGAUGGGAUGUGCUCGUUUGUGGGGUAACGGCUCACCAAGGCGCCGAUCCCUAGCUGGUCUGAGAGGAUGACCAGCCACACGGGAACUGGGACACGGGCAAGACUCCUAGUGGAGGCAGCAGGGGGGAAUAUUGCACAAUGGGCGCAAGCCUGAUGCAGCCAUGCCGCGAGUAUGAAGAAGGCCUUCGGGUUGUAAAGUACUUUCAGCGGGGAGGCGUUACCCGCAGAAGAAGCACCGGCUAACUCCGUGCCAGCAGCCGCGGUAAUAC